CAGUAGCCGCGGGAAUACGUAGGGUGCAAGCGUUAAUCGGAAUUACUGGGCGUAAAGCGUGCGCAGGCGGUUAUAUAAGACAGAUGUGAAAUCCCCGGGCUCAACCUGGGAACUGCAUUUGUGACUGUAUAGCUAGAGUACGGCAGAGGGGGAUGGAAUUCCGCGUGUAGCAGUGAAAUGCGUAGAUAUGCGGAGGAACACCGAUGGCGAAGGCAAUCCCUUGGGCCUGUACUGACGCUCAUGCACGAAAGCGUGGGGAGCAAACAGGAUUAGAUACCCGGGUAGUCCCUGUCUCUUAUAA
rnacentral:rRNA from 1 species